rnacentral:rRNA from 1 species
AGAUUGAACGCUGGCGGCAGGCCUAACACAUGCAAGUCGAGCGGUAGAGAGGUGCUUGCAUCUCUUGAGAGCGGCGGACGGGUGAGUAAUGCCUAGGAAUCUGCCUAGUGGUGGGGGAUAACGUUCGGAAACGGACGCUAAUACCGCAUACGUCCUACGGGAGAAAGCGGGGGACCUUCGGGCCUCGCGCCAUUAGAUGAGCCUAGGUCGGAUUAGCUAGUUGGUGAGGUAAUGGCUCACCAAGGCGACGAUCCGUAACUGGUCUGAGAGGAUGAUCAGUCACACUGGAACUGAGACACGGUCCAGACUCCUACGGGAGGCAGCAGUGGGAAUAUUGGACAAUGGGCGAAAGCCUGAUCCAGCCAUGCCGCGUGUGUGAAGAAGGCCUUCGGUUGUAAAGCACUUUAAGUUGGUAAGAAAACCUACGACUCUAACACAGUAGUAAGUCUUAGACGUAACCGACAAGAAUAAGACACCGCUAACUCUAGUGCCAAGCAACG